CCUACGGGAGGCAGCAGUGGGGAAUAUUGGACAAUGGGGGCAACCCUGAUCCAGCCAUGCCGCGUGUGUGAAGAAGGCCCUCGGGUUGUAUAGCACUUUCAGUGAGGAAGAACGCCUGGUGGUUAAUACCCAUCAGGAAAGACAUCACUCACAGAAGAAGCACCGGCUAACUCCGUGCCAGCAGCCGCGGUAAUACGGAGGGUGCGAGCGUUAAUCGGAAUUACUGGGCGUAAAGCGCGCGUAGGUGGCUUGAUAAGCCGGUUGUGAAAGCCCCGGGCUCAACCUGGGAACGGCAUCCGGAACUGUCAAGCUAGAGUGCAGGAGAGGAAGGUAGAAUUCCCGGUGUAGCGGUGAAAUGCGUAGAGAUCGGGAGGAAUACCAGUGGCGAAGGCGGCCUUCUGGACUGACACUGACACUGAGGUGCGAAAGCGUGGGUAGCAAACAGGUUUAGAUACCCUUGUAGUC
rnacentral:rRNA from 1 species